rnacentral:lncRNA from 1 species
GCUUGUCUUCAUUUUAUAAGUGUUUAAUGUUCCUUUAGUUUCUAAUUAGGUCUUUCCACUUUUCGUGGAAAGACCUUUGUUUUUCUUCUGAUUAUUAGGUCUUUCCAAUUUUCAUGGAAAGACCUUUUGUUUUUCUUCUGAUUAUUUUGUUUUUCUUCUGCCGUCUGAGAUGCUUUUAUGUCUUACAACAUAUCGAAUGGAUUUUUUG